UACAGAGGUCCCAAGCGUUGUUCGGAUUCAUUGGGCGUAAAGGGUGCGUAGGCGGCGCGGUAAGUCGGGUGUGAAAUCUCGGAGCUUAACUCCGAAACUGCAUUCGAUACUGCCGUGCUGGAGGACUGGAGAGGAGACUGGAAUUUACGGUGUAGCGGUGAAAUGCGUAGAUAUCGUAAGGAAGACCAGUGGCGAAGGCGGGUCUCUGGACAGUUCCUGACACUGAGGCACGAAGGCCAGGGGAGCAAACGGG
rnacentral:rRNA from 1 species